GACUAGUGCUGAGAAAGCCUUGAUACCGGCUGACAUUUAUACACCACGCUGAGGUUUACAAGGUGCUCUGCAGAGCUGUGUCAUUGGAAUCCCACAAUGCCCGUGUGGGGAAACAUUGCUGCACCUUGAAAUCUUUUCUUGCUAGAAAGUGAUGCCCUAACUUCUGCACUCAGGAACACUUGAACUUUGGGUUACCCACAAAGCAACACACAAAUCUGGCAUCAUCCCCAAAAUUCCUCUUCUCUGGCUCAAGGCCAGGUCGUAGAGCCCACUGCCUUGGGAAUCAACAAUCCCCUCCCUGAAGCAAGAGGUUGGGGCUCUGCCAAAACCUUCCUGGAGCUUCCUUCUCCAUCCAUGAGUGGGAGCACACAUCCACCCCUGCUAUGUGCCUCUACUGCAAGUGGCCGUUGCUGCUUCCAGAAAGAGGAGCAAAAGAAAAGGAAAAGAGGAAGUGUUGGGAAGAUUUUGAAGCCCCUGUAACAAAUGGGCUGUCAGAGAUUACCUGCUGUGACAAAUCUGCUGACAGAGGCCCUGAGUCACAGGAGUUAUUGGUGCCCCCCCCACCACGGCCCCCACCCCAGGAAGACAAGGUGCACUGGUCCAGCUGCUUCAUGCUGAGUCUCUCUCCCCUCUUCCAGUGGAGAAAAGGCAAAGGGAUCUGGUUCGGGGACCUGUGAGGGCCAUUGGCUCUAGGAGACCCCAGGCCCAGAACCUUGUGCUGAGCACUUACUCGAGCCAUCCACUUUCUCAUUCAACCUGGGAUUUGUUCUCAGCAGAGUCCUUUUAGACUGUAAGCUCCCUGAGGACAGGCACCAGGUUAGGUUUCAUCUGGUUUUUCCAGCUCUGG